GGGCGGGGAGGGGAGGGGCGGACGCGGAAGGAAAUGGCUUUCAGGUGACUUUGAAACAGGAUCCGGGCGGAGGGUGAGGUGAAGACAGCGGGGCUCCUGACUGCGGGGGAGGAGGUAUGCGCUGGGCCUCGCGGGCCCGGGACGCGGACCCAAAUUCCUCAGGGAGGAGGGUCUGCGCCUGCCCUGCUGAGCCUGCACCGGCCGACUGGGAAGGUGAGAGUCGAGAACGUGGAAGGGGUUUCGGAGGUAAACAGCCGCCACGGCUGGACCAGAUGCAGCCGGCCAGGCUCCGGGCUGCAGGACAAUUGGAGAAGGCCCGGUCCUUUCUUGCCUUACUGACGGCAGUCCGUCCUCAGGCCUCCGUCUUCUUGGAUCCCGCUUUCUUCUCUGCUCACCGGAAUCCUACCAGUACCUUCCUGCCCACCUCAUAUUCCAGCUUCCUGAGAAAGCUGAUGAUUCAACUAAUCCUUGAGCGCACCCCUUACUCCUCCACCGGGGCGGGAAAUAGUGUUAAUGACUGUAAUAAUAACUCAUUUAGCGAAUGCUUACCAUUUGUAGGUACUAUGCGAUUUACAUUGUCUCCCGUCGCCUACACAGCCGCCUAGGGAGCCAGUAACUAUCUGUAUACCCAUUUUACAGAUUGGAUAACUGAGGAUGGGAGGGAUCUAGCAACUUGGCCAAGGUUGUGUAACCAAAAAAGGAGUGCAAGACGAAAUCCCAGAAGCACUCAGUAAAGCACUGCUGAAUCAGAUGAAAUAACCCAAACCAUUUGGGAGAAACCUACAAUCUCACCUCUAAGAAUAAAAACCUGUCUCUGGGCCCAGGAGCUGUAGGCUGCAGCUCCUCCAUCCACAACUCACAGCCUCUCUCCUUCCUGCCCCUAUCCAUUCUAGCUUUAGUAGCUUCACUCUCCCUGCUAUUAAAUAAUUUAUUGUUAUAAUAAUACCUUGUGCCUCAGUGAUGCCUUUAAUCCAAGAUCUCAAAGUGUUCUUCUUCAUCGUACCCCCACCGACAUGGGGAGAUGGAGGUAUUUCCCCCACUUUAUGGGUGAGAAAAACCAAGACAACAUAGAGUAGAAAUGACUCACUAUGGAAAUCAAUGGCGUGGUUUCUUCUCUGGGCCCUUCCCCUCCUCCUUCCAAACUCUUGGCUGCCAACAUGUGCAUCAAAAUUUCAAAUUCCAGAGACAAAGGCCAUUGAGUUUUCACAAUAAAGGACAUUUGCAAA